UAGUAGAUCAUGGUUGAAUUAACCCGCUUCUAACGCGUUAUUGAGAGGUUCGACUCCUUUCAUUACUAA
rnacentral:tRNA from 1 species